UACGUAGGGUGCAAGCGUUAAUCGGAAUUACUGGGCGUAAAGCGUGCGCAGGCGGUUUGUAAGUUUGUCGUGAAAUCCCCGGCUCAACCUGGAUGGCGAUGAAGACUGCAAGGCUAGAAUCUGCAGAGGGGGUAGAAUUCCACGUGUAGCAGUGAAUGCGUAGAGAUGUGGAGACACGAUGCGCAGCAGCCCUGGAUGAGAUUAGCGCUCA
rnacentral:rRNA from 1 species